CCUACGGGAGGCAGCAGUGGGGAAUAUUGCACAAUGGGGGAAACCCUGAUGCAGCGACGCCGCGUGAGGGAAGAAGUAAUUCGUUAUGUUAAGCUCUAUCAGCAGGGGAGAAAAUGACGGUACCUGAGUAAGAAGCCCCGGCUAACUACGUGCCAGCAGCCGCGGUAAUAAGUAGGGGGCAAGCGUUAUCCGGAUUUACUGGGUUUAAAUGGGGCGUAGACGGCAGUGCAAGUCUGGAGUGAAAGGCGGGGGCUCAACCCCCGGACUGCUCGGGAAACUGUCCGGCUGGAGUGCAGGAGAGGUAAGUGGAAUUCCGGGUGUAGCGGUGAAAUGCGUAGAUAUUAGGAGGAACACCAGUGGCGAAGGCGGCUUACUGGACUGUAACUGACGUUGAGGCACGAAAGCGUGGGGAGCAAACAGGAUUAGAUACCCGGGUAGUC
rnacentral:rRNA from 1 species